rnacentral:rRNA from 1 species
GACGAACGCUGGCGGCGUGCCUAAUACAUGCAAGUCGAGCGGACUUUUAAAAGCUUGCUUUUGAAAGUCAGCGGCGGACGGGUGAGUAACACGUGGGCAACCUGCCUGUAAGACUGGGAUAACUUCGGGAAACCGGAGCUAAUACCGGAUACGUUCUUUUCUCGCAUGAGAGAAGAUGGAAAGACGGUUGCGGCUGUCACUUACAGAUGGGCCCGCGGCGCAUUAGCGAGUUGGUGGGGUAAUGGACCACCAAGGCGACGAUGCGUAGCCGACCUGAGAGGGUGAUCGGCCACACUGGGACUGAGACACGGCCCAGACUCCUACGGGAGGCAGCAGUAGGGAAUCUUCCGCAAUGGACGAAAGUCUGACGGAGCAACGCCGCGUGAACGAUGAAGGCUUUCGGGUCGUAAAGUUCUGUUGUUAGGGAAGAACAAGUACCAGAGUAACUGCUGGUACCUUGACGGUACCUAACCAGAAAGCCACGGCUAACUACGUGCCAGCAGCCGCAGUAA